CGUGUUAGUAUUACCCUCUGUUCACAGUUGUGUAGAUAAGACUUAGAUUUACCUACGACUGAUACUACAAAUGAACUUUCUGAUUGUCUCAGAGGAAUUUUAAGCUGGGAUGGUAUUGAUUUUACUUCAGGUUUAUGGAUAUGACCUAAGCAAAAUAUCUUCGGAUCAGGAGGACAGCUUAAUCAUUGAUGAGCUGUUGCUCCAUCUGAAGAGGCCCUUCUGAGUCAACAGACGGUCUCCCUGAAAUAAACAGAACCUUUGCCAUUGGCUGCUGUUUGUGGACUAUCUGCUCUGGAUUUAAGAGCAUGCUCUCGGGGUUGGCCCAGUCCUGCUGCUCCCCUGACGCAAAGAUGGCAUAGAAGAUGACUCCUGUGUAAUGCACCAUGGAGGCAAUAACGAAG